rnacentral:rRNA from 1 species
UGGGGAAUAUUGCACAAUGGGCGAAAGCCUGAUGCAGCAACGCCGCGUGAGUGAUGAAGGUCUUCGGAUUGUAAAGCUCUGUCUUUUGGGACGAUAAUGACGGUACCAAAGGAGGAAGCCACGGCUAACUACGUGCCAGCAGCCGCGGUAAUACGUAGGUGGCGAGCGUUGUCCGGAUUUACUGGGCGUAAAGGGUGCGUAGGCGGAUGUUUAAGUGAGAUGUGAAAUACCCGGGCUUAACUUGGGUGCUGCAUUUCAAACUGGAUAUCUAGAGUGCAGGAGAGGAGAAUGGAAUUCCUAGUGUAGCGGUGAAAUGCGUAGAGAUUAGGAAGAACACCAGUGGCGAAGGCGAUUCUCUGGACUGUAACUGACGCUGAGGCACGAAAGCGUGGGUAGCAAACAGGAUUAGAUACCCUGGUAGUCCACGCCGUAAACGAUGAGUACUAGGUGUAGGAGGUAUCGACCCCUUCUGUGCCGCAGUAAACACAUUAAGUACUCCGCCUGGGAAGUACGAUCGCAAGAUUAAAA